rnacentral:rRNA from 1 species
UAAGCCAUGCGAGUCGAGAGGGGUAAGCCCUCGGCGCACUGCUCAGUAACACGUGGAUAACCUGCCCUCGAGACGGGGAUAACCCCGGGAAACUGGGGAUAAUAUCCGAUAGGCUAUAGAUCCUGGAAUGGUCUAUAGCUCAAAUGCGCUAGCGCUCGAGGAUGGGUCUGCGGCUGAUUAGGUUGUUGCCGGUGUAACGUACCGACAAGCCGAUAAUCAGUAUGGGCUGUGAGAGCAGGAGCCCAGAGAUGGAUUCUGAGACAUGAAUCCAGGCCCUACGGGGCGCAGCAGGCGCGAAACCUUCACACUGCGCGCAAGCGCGAUGAGGGGACCUCGAGUGUCGGUGCCAAGCAUCGACUGUCCCGCUGCCUAAAAAGCAGCGGUUGGCAAGGGCCGGGCAAGACCGGUGCCAGCCGCCGCGGUAACACCGGCGGCUCGAGUGGUGACCACUAUUAUUGAGCUUAAAGGGUUCGUAGCCGGUCUAGUAACUCUCUUGGGAAAUCUGGCGGCUUAACCGUCAGGCGUCCGGGAGAAACUGCUAGACUUGGGAGCGGAGGAGUUGGAGGUACUCCAGGGGUAGAGGUGAAAUUCUGUAAUCCUUGGGGGACCACCGGUGGCGAAGGCGUCCAACCAAAACGCGUUCGACGGUGAGGGACGAAAGCCAGGGGCACGAACCGGAUUAGAUACCCGGGUAGUCCUGGCCGUAAACGAUGCGGGCUAGGUGUCACAAUGGCUGCGAGCCACUGUGGUGCCGUAGAGAAAUCGCGAAGCCUGCCGCUUGGGAAGUACGGCCGCAAGGCUGAAACUUGAAGGAAUUGGCGGGGGAGCACUACAACGGGUGGAGCCUGCGGUUUAAUUGGAUUCAACGCCGGGAAGCUUACCGGGUGCGACAGCUGGAUGAAGGUCAGGCUAAAGACCUUGCUGGACUAGCUGAGAGGAGGUGCAUGGCCGUCGUCAGUUCGUACUGUGAAGCGUCCUGUUAAGUCAGGCAACGAACGAGAUCCACGCCCACUGUUGCCAGCGCGCCCUCCGGGGUGGCGGGUACACGGUGGGGACCGCUGGUGCUAAACCAGAGGAAGGAAUGGGUAACGGUAGGUCAGUAUGCCCCGAAUCUCCCGGGCUACACGCGUGCUACAAUGGUUGGGACAAUGGGUAUCGACCCCGAGAGGGGAAGGAAUCUCCUAAACCCAACCUUAGUUCGGAUCGGGGGCUGCAACUCGCCCCCGUGAAGAUGGAAUCCGUAGUAAUCGCGACUC